AGGAAGGAGGCUGGGGCCCUUUUGCUGAUACUCUGUGAGAGGGCACUGACCGUACACUACAGCGUUCAGCUGGGGAUGGCAGCAGAUGAAGAACGUGGUGGGGGAAACGCCCCUUACCCUCCAGGGCAAAGGUCAACCAGCCUCACUGGCUGAAUUGCUACUCCAGCAGCAGCCCUCACAGCGAAGAGAAAAGAUAUCAAGUAGAAACUUCCAGGUAGUGCUACUGGUAUGCUAAGGGCUACUGAAGCAUAGCAGCACAAAUGCGUCAUGCUGUUUUCCAGCCGCUCCAUCUAGCUACCAGAGAUAGGCCUCUGGAAACAGCCAUGACCAGUAUUCACACUGCCAGGACAACUGAAGUGAUGCAAGAUUUUUGGUGGAUUACAAGCAGGCAAAAGUGAGGAAAGGUGGAGGAACAUCCAAAGUUCUUCACAGUAGGACUUGUGAAGUGAAUAGGUACGAAGGGAAAACCAGACUAUAGAUCACUUCAGCACAGUGCGUGGGCUAGAUGCGAGGGGAGCACAGGAAGGAAAGAACCAAAUCUUGGAGUUGGGGUGGGAAAUGGAGCAUAAAGAACUUGUAAAAAUAUUUGUUGAUUUGGAUGAAAACUGAUACAAUCCAGUGUCUGGGUUAGAGCAAGGGGUUGUUUAGCUUUGAGGGUUAUAGCAGAAUAGAAGUGAGGGUUCAAUGUACAGACUUCUCCACCAGACAAAGAUGCAGAAAUGUGUACACAAUGCAGGGGUGUUAGGAUCCUUGGAGCAGAGUCCCGCAGGCCACUCUGAGUGGAGCACCAUGCAGCACAGCCCAGCCCAGCCCAGUUAUGUCCAGGAGGGGAGGAACUGGAGUCAGGGUUUGCAAAGAGAGUGGCAGGGGGAGGACAGUUGCUUGAAAUAAACCAGAAGCAAGAGGCAUUAGAGGUACAAGGGGAAGACACAACAGUAAAGAGGACAGGACAUGAGGGCUGGACAGAUGGCAGAAAUGGGUCCGGAUCCAGGUCCCAGUGGAACUGAAUGAACAGGACUGAUGUACAAUGGCUGAGAGGAUCUUGCCCUGUGUCACCCACACUGAGACACAUGAAUGCAGCAGACUUUAUACAUACCCUGUGAUCCAACACAGCAAAAUGUUUAUUAACAAAAAUAAUUUAUUCUACUAACACAAGCAUAGACACAAUGACAGCAUGAGAAGCCAGGCACUUGGAGACUUCAUCUCUUCCAGAGAACAGGGAAGAUGAUGGAUUACAAACCAAAUCACCCCUUUAAAGAGAAGAAA